rnacentral:rRNA from 1 species
AUUGAACGCUGGCGGCAUGCUUUACACAUGCAAGUCGAACGGCAGCACGAAAGAGCUUGCUCUUUUGGUGGCGAGUGGCGAACGGGUGAGUAAUGCAUCGGAACGUACCGAGUAAUGGGGGAUAACUGUCCGAAAGGAUAGCUAAUACCGCAUACGCUUUGAGAAGGAAAGUGGGGGCUCUUCGGACCUCACGUUAUUCGAGCGGCCGAUGUCUGAUUAGCCAGUUGGUGGGGUAAAGGCCUACCAAGGCGACGAUCAGUAGCGGGUCUGAGAGGAUGAUCCGCCACACUGGGACUGAGACACGGCCCAGACUCCUACGGGAGGCAGCAGUGGGGAAUUUUGGACAAUGGGCGCAAGCCUGAUCCAGCCAUGCCGCGUGUCUGAAGAAGGCCUUCGGGUUGUAAAGGACUUUUGUUAGGGAAGAAAAGGAUAGUGUUAAUACCAUUAUCUGCUGACGGUACCUAAAGAAUAAGCACCGGCUAACUACGUG